rnacentral:rRNA from 1 species
UACGGAGGGUGCAAGCGUUGUCCGGAAUCACUGGGCGUAAAGGGCGCGUAGGCGGCUCGGUAAGUAGGGGGUGAAAUCCUGCGGCUUAACCGCAGGGCUGCCUUCUAAACUGUCGAGCUCGAGCACGGUAGAGGCAGAUGGAAUUCCCGGUGUAGCGGUGGAAUGCGUAGAGAUCGGGAAGAACAUCAGUGGCGAAGGCGGUCUGCUGGGCCGUUGCUGACGCUGAGGCACGAAGGUCAGGGGAGCAAACGGG